rnacentral:rRNA from 1 species
UACGUAGGGGGCAAGCGUUGUCCGGAUUUAUUGGGCGUAAAGAGCGUGUAGGCGGCCAGGCAGGUCCGCUGUGAAAACUCGAGGCUCAACCUCGAGAGGUCGGUGGAAACCGUCUGGCUAGAGUCCGGAAGAGGAGAGUGGAAUUCCCGGUGUAGCGGUGAAAUGCGCAGAUAUCGGGAAGAACACCCGUGGCGAAGGCGACUUCCUGGCCUGUUCUUGACGCUGAGGCGCGAAAGCUAGGGGAGCAAACGGG